AGAACUGCAACAUGAGGCGAUCGAAUCGCGUAGACUCGCGGGCGAAUGUCCAACUUUCACUGACAACUCGUUAGGUUCGUAGCCGUGGUUUCGAAUCAUUCACAGUCAUCUCGUGACUUCGGUAGAUCGCGGUAACGCCGGUACUCUCUGUUGAUUUCUCCCUCGUUAAUCCAUGAGAAUUUUCUUUUCGUAAAUUCUCAUUUCUUUGAUAGAUGAUCGUCGCAAUAGAAGUUAUUCGAAAUUCGUGAGUUUAAAUUAUAAUCUCGAUCGUUCGUGAAAAGUGUGAUAGAUCAAGUGAUCGGUUUAUUCUAUUUCAGUGUUAUUUCGACGAUAUAUAAAAGAAAAGAGAAAAAUAAACUGUACGUUUAUCGUUGACAUUGAAAUAAAAAAAUUUUUGAUAGAAGGAGAGAAAAGGAGAAAAAAAAGAAGGAGAGAAAGAGAAAGAGAAACAAAAAGAAAGAGAGAGAGAGAAAAAAGAAAAAAGAAAAAAGUGAAAAAUAUAUUAUCAUAUUUUGGAAAGCACCAAGUAUAAGUGUCUCAAAAGAAAGUGAUAAUUUAAAAGGGAGUGAGAGUUUUAGUUCGUUCUCAAGGUCAACCUCCUCUUCCUUAUCUCCUCGUUCGCAUACUCGACAGAAUAUAUACUUAUUUCGAACUUACUCUUUUGCUAAGAUAUUGUUUUACAGUUCAUAAAUCUCAAAUAACUAUUAUACAUCGUCGAUGCAUACAAUACACAUACAUGUGGAUGCAUACGAUACGUACAUAUAUUAAAGUUCGCAAAGUGUUAAUGAAAGGAAAAGAAAAAAAAAAAGAAUAAAAAAGAGAAAAAAGAAAUGGGUUAAGGUUUUUCAUUCAUUUGCGUUAAUAUGCAAAAAUCACGUACGUGAGCGUUCGGAACGUUAUCAUAUUACCGAUAAAAUUUAUUGAAUAAAAGAUAUCGGAUUUAUUCGAAA